GACCCUUUCCUCAGGUUUUUCUUUCACUUUCACAAACUCAAUAACCAGUGGACUGUCUGAUGUUGGCCUGUUGUUAGGAUUAAGCAAACUACCCUUCUUGAAACCUUGUUUGUUACAAACAUAACGCAAAUAAUGUACCUUAUCUGAUUUCUUAUUUUGUGAAUUAAUCUUCGACUUCAACAUAGUCCUAAUAGAAAAUCCAGUGUUAUAUGCAUAAUUACCAUAAAAAUCUUCAAUCUCUUUAAUAGAUUGAAAGACUAAAGACUUCCAUGAUUCUUCAUUGCUAGGGGAGUAACAUUG
rnacentral:lncRNA from 1 species